GCUCCUAUAGCUCAACGGACAGAGCAGUCCCCCCCUAAGGGAAAGGCUGAAGGUUCGAAUCCUUCUAGGAGCGCCA
rnacentral:tRNA from 1 species